rnacentral:rRNA from 1 species
GACGAACGCUGGCGGCGUGCUUAACACAUGCAAGUCGAGCGGUAAGGCCCUUUCGGGGGUACACGAGCGGCGAACGGGUGAGUAACACGUGGGUGACCUGGCCUCAGCUCUGGGAUAAGCCUGGGAAACUGGGUCUAAUACUGGAUAUGACUCCACGGUGCAUGUCGUGGGGUGGAAAGCCUUGUGCGGCUGAGGAUGGGCCCGCGGCCUAUCAGCUUGUUGGUGGGGUGANGGCCUACCAAGGCGACGACGGGUAGCCGGCCUGAGAGGGCGACCGGCCACACUGGGACUGAGACACGGCCCAGACUCCUACGGGAGGCAGCAGUGGGGAAUCUUGCGCAAUGGGCGAAAGCCUGACGCAGCGACGCCGCGUGAGGGAUGACGGCCU